CGCAACAUAAGAUUUUAUUAAAAGUUCAAGAUUAGUGUUGCAAAAAUCCUUUUUUCCACCCAUUCAUCUUUAUAUAUCCCUCAAAUCCUAGAACUAUACCCAAAGCUUUCUUCCUUCCUCAAUUCAGGUUACCUAAGAGGAGCUCUCCAGAGACGGAUGGAGAAAUGAGGUUGCAACUUAGAAGAAAAAUGGACUUGGAAUUCAUCAUUUUCCAAACAGAGAAUAUGCUCAGAGUCCUGGGGGAAAAUGAAGAACUUAAUUUGAUUCUCCAACCAUAUCUGCUAUGAACUAUGCAGUAAUGAGGAAAGAAGACUGUUUCUGCCCCCAAGAAACUAAUGGUCCAGUUAAGAUACUCAUCUAGUCAACAAAUAUUUAAUAAAAGCCAACAAUGUGCUAAGAGA